rnacentral:rRNA from 1 species
UACGUAGGUGGCAAGCGUUGUCCGGAUUUCUUGGGUUUAAAGGGUGCGUAGGCGGCUUUGUAAGUCAGUGGUGAAAUAUGGCAGCUCAACUGUCAGGGUGCCAUUGAUACUGCGGAGCUUGAGUACAGAUGAGGUAGGCGGAAUUGACGGUGUAGCGGUGAAAUGCUUAGAUAUCGUCAAGAACACCGAUAGCGAAGGCAGCUUACUGGGCUGUAACUGACGCUGAGGCACGAAAGUGUGCGGAUCAAACAGG